rnacentral:rRNA from 1 species
AUUGAACGCUGGCGGCAUGCCUUACACAUGCAAGUCGAACGGCAGCGCGGGAGCAAUCCUGGCGGCGAGUGGCGAACGGGUGAGUAAUAUAUCGGAACGUGCCCUGUAGCGGGGGAUAGCCCGGCGAAAGCCGGAUUAAUACCGCAUACGCUCUACGGAGGAAAGCGGGGGUCGCAAGACCUCGCACUAUAGGAGCGGCCGAUAUCGGAUUAGCUAGUUGGCGGGGAAAAGCCCACCAAGGCUACGAUCCGUAGCUGGUCUGAGAGGAUGAUCAGCCACACUGGAACUGAGACACGGUCCAGACUCCUACGGGAGGCAGCAGUGGGGAAUUUGGGCAAUGGGGGAAACCCUGACCCAGCAACGCCGCGUGAAGGAUGAAGUAUUUCGGUAUGUAAACUUCGAAAGAAUAGGAAGAAUUAAUGACGUACUAUUUAUAAGGUUCGGCUAACUACGUGCCAGCAGCCGCAGUAAC